rnacentral:misc_RNA from 2 species
CAACCCUCAGGCCCUGCCUGGUGUUGGAGGACUGCGCACGCAGCCUCCCAAAGCAAGCGGCGGCGGCGCCCCGAGACCGAACGCAGUAGUUACUUCUCGUUCUGGGACUGGGUCGUUGUCCUGCCGGAAAACCCCCAUCUUUUUAAU